rnacentral:rRNA from 1 species
CCUACGGGAGGCAGCAGUGGGGAAUUUUGGACAAUGGGCGCAAGCCUGAUCCAGCAAUGCCGCGUGAGUGAAGAAGGCCUUCGGGUUGUAAAGCUCUUUUGUCAGGGAAGAAACGGUGGGAGCUAAUAUCUCCCGCUAAUGACGGUACCUGAAGAAUAAGCACCGGCUAACUACGUGCCAGCAGCCGCGGUAAUACGUAGGGUGCAAGCGUUAAUCGGAAUUACUGGGCGUAAAGCGUGCGCAGGCGGUUUUGUAAGUCUGUCGUGAAAGCCCCGGGCUCAACCUGGGAAUUGCGAUGGAGACUGCAAGGCUUGAAUCUGGCAGAGGGGGGUAGAAUUCCACGUGUAGCAGUGAAAUGCGUAGAGAUGUGGAGGAACACCGAUGGCGAAGGCAGCCCCCUGGGUCAAGAUUGACGCUCAUGCACGAAAGCGUGGGGAGCAAACAGGAUUAGAUACCCUGGUAGUCCACGCCCUAAACGAUGUCUACUAGUUGUCGGGUUUUAAUUAACUUGGUAAUGNAGCUAACGCGUGAAGUAAGACCGCCGUCGGGGAGGUACGGUCGGCGAAGAAGUUAAAACUUAACUAAAUAAGUAAGUUAGUACGGACGUAAGAACGUAGACCGAACGGACGACCGACGAGGGAGGAGGGAG